rnacentral:lncRNA from 1 species
GUGGUGGUCAGUGUCCCGGACCUUGCAUAUAUUAUAAAUUGUUCAUACCAACUGAACUAAACUCACUAGGGUUUCGUAUGAUUUCACAUUGGUAUAUAAUGAAUGAAACGAAAUAGAGAAAAAACAACAUACCUGGAACGUAGGAGCAGGGUAUCUAAGAGCAUUUUGAAUGGCAUCAACAAUAGCAGUAUCAUCAUUUCCAAGACAAUGAGCCACACCUUGAAUCACAACUUGAGGAGUUAACAAAGUAUCAAGCCCUAGAGCCUCAACAUAAGCUUUUUGUCUUACGGUCCAUUGACUUGAUCCAUAAGGAUCCUUCCAUCCCAUAUAAUCCCAAUAAUCUACAUGGAAUGCCAACACAACUACCGGCAUUUCAAGCUGAAAAUCACCUCUACCCAACCUUGACAACACCAGCUCCGCCGCCGGUGAUGUUGCACAUCCUUGUGAUGAAAACAUCUCAACCAUCACUGGUCCGCCACGUCUUUGUUCUUCUGUUGUUACAUCGGAUGUCAUGCUGCCGCCGUCUGCUGCGCUGUCUCGACUCCCCUUGUUUCCGAAACAGGUCCAGAAACGGGGCGCCAUGGCUUUGUUUUGCCAAUCAGCGGUGGCUGUAGGAAAAAAGAAAGGUGGAUUUUGAGAAAGUGAGAAAUAAAUUGAGUUUUUUUUUAGUGAAUAAAAUGUUAAUAAAGGGUGGAUUGAGGAUGGAAGGUGGAGAAAGAAAUAGGGCGAAUAAAGUGGGUGAGAGGUGGAGGAAUAUGAAUAUUUGAUGUUUGCCUCUCUUGUAUUGUUGCUUAAUGGAGAAGACAGGUUGGGUGAACGAUCAAGAUUAGCUUAUUUAAUUCUGCAAAAAAACAAAAUAAAAGCUUAUUUUAACAAUAAA